GAAAUGUCUUUUGGGACAGCCUCGGGCCACUACUCUGCGGGGGUAGAGCUACUGAAUGAAACGCGGGGGCUACCCGCCUGCCGCCUUCAAUCAAACUCCGAAUACCGUAGAGUGUAUCCCGGGAGUGAGACUGUGGGGGAUAACCUUCAUGGUCGAAAGGGAAACAACCCAGCCCGCCUGCUAAGGUCCCCAAUUUCCGCUCAGUGCAUAAGGAAGUCUAGUUUCCGAGACAGCCGGGAUGUUGGCUUAGAAGCAGCCACCAUUUAAAAAGUGCGUAAUAGCUUACCGGUCGAGAAACUGGGCACCGAUAAUGAACGGGACUAAGCGGAAAACCGAAGCAGCGGGUCGUAUGCCUGUUCGCAGGUGUGCGGCAGUAAGGGAGCGUUGAUAGGCAGAUACAGGCCGUACGGUAACGAGCGGUGGCGGGCCUAUCAAGUGCGUAUGCCGGUAUGAGUAACGAGAAACCGGGUGAAAACCCCGGUCGCCGAAAGCCUAAGGUUUCCUGGGGAAGGUCAAUCCGCCCAGGGUUAGCCGGAUCCUUAGACCAGGCCGAAAGGCGUAGUCGAUGGACAGCAGGUUAAUAUUCCUGCGCCCCGUCAGGAGGUUGAGUCGCACGUGCGUUUUCUCAAGCCGUGGCCCACGAUCAGGUUCGAGGGUGCCCGAAAGGGCGAGGCCGAUUUGUUGCCGAAGCACGGGGAGAGAGAACCAAGAAAAGCGUGCGAGGACGACUGGCGGGUCCGUACUAAAACUGACACAGGUAGGCGAGGAGAGUAUCCUCAGGCGCUCGAGAGAACGGUCCUUAAGGAACUAGGCAAUUUUGCCCCGUAACUUCGGGACAAGGGGUCCCUACCUGGAUAGUAGCAAUAUUGUCCGGGAGGGCACAGCAAAGCGGCUCUGGGAACUGUUUAUCAAAAACACAGGUCUCUGCUAACUCGUAAAGAGGACGUAUAGAGACUGACGCCUGCUCGGUGCCGGAAGGUUAAGGAAGCAGGUCAUCGGCCGAAAGGCUGAGAAGCUUGCGACCGAAGCCCCGGUUAACGGCGGCCCUAACUAUGAGGGUCCUAAGGUAGCGAAGUUCCUUGUCGGGUAAGUUCCGACGCGCAUGAAUGGCGUAACGACUGGAGCACUGUCUCAAGGACCGACUCGGUGAAAUUGAAUUUGUGGUGAAGAUACCACAUACCCGCGGCAAGACGGAAAGACCCCGUGAACCUUUACUGUAGCCUGGUAUUGGCCACAGGCAUCACAUGCGUAGGAUAGGUGGGAGGCGAUGAUCUGGCGGCUCCGGCCGUCAGGGAGCCAACGGUGAAAUACCACUCUUGUGCUGUUUGUUGCCUAACCUUGACCCGUGAAGC
rnacentral:rRNA from 1 species